AACAGGAGCCAUUCUGAAGCAUGUUUAAAAAGGUACAUGGUGGGGCAACGGCAAUAGAGUCGGAGUAAUAGAGAUUUUUACACCUCCUAAACAAUAGGUAAUAAAAUUUUUGUUAUUUAUGAAAAAUAUAGUUUCUCCUACUAACAAUCCUAACAAGACAGCCUUGACGAUUCGAUAUAAAAUCGAGAAGCAACAUCAUCCAAUUACUGGUAAAACUAACGUUUUAUCAAAAUUUACUAUUUUUCUUGGUCUUCGCGAUAUUUUUUCUGAAUUCCGUGAAAGUGUGUUUUUAACAUAUCUAUUGAGGAAUGAGUGUCUAAAAACCUCUCUCGAAACAUAUCUAACCGCAAGUCGAAAGCAGUGACAACAGCGUUUACUAUACUACGUGUAAACCUUCUAAUUAAGAUACAUUAAUUAAUCAAUUUAUUUAAUUAAACAAUUUAAUUGCGGUGGAACUGAAAGUUUUAGACUUUUGUGUUUGAAGGAUUUUGAUAAUUUUAGCAAAAAAUGUUACGAAUAAUCACCUAUUAUAUAAUUUUGCAUACAAGGUGGUAAAAAGUUUUUAGAAAUUAUGUAGUAAUAGUUGAUACAAUAUUUUUUCGAAAAAAAUAUUCCGAGACCUUCCUUGGCUAUAAUUUGAUUUUCUUGAUCAUACACUAAAAAGGCGUAAAUAAAAACGUACAAUGAAUAGUCCGUUUCCACAUCACCUAGGCGGUAGGACUAACGAUGCGCUGUAUUUAAUCUUUAACGUGGCAAAUACAUCCCCAGUAGGCCUACGAACCACUAGUUAUUGCUGAAUCAUGUCUAGACUUUGCAGCAUCUUUUCAUGGCUCUUCAUGAGUAGCAUCUUUUAAUGGCUCUUAUAAAUUAAUGACUCUUAGAUAAACUAAGCUAUCACUAAUUGGUGGCAUCUUUUCUUGACUACUAUUUGUUGGCGUCUUUUUGUGACUGUUUUAAUGAGUAUAAAUGUAGAGUAGCAUCUUUUAAUGGCUCUUAUAAAUUAAUGACUCUUAGAUAAACUAAGCUAUCACUAAUUGGUGGCAUCUUUUCUUGGCUACUAUUUAUUGGCAUCUUUUUGUGGCUGAGUCUCCGAGAUGAUUCAGCAACAUAUCUUUUAAUCAUUAUAAAUGUAAACUUAUAAUAUUGCACCUUGAUUUAAAUAAAGACUUUAAAUAAUUUUUCAAAUUCUGUUUAAUAAUUUUAAAAAUACUUAUGUACUUUGAUGAAAGGGUAUAAGGAAGGGAUAGGAAGGAAAUAGCUAUGAAAACAGCUGAUGUUUAUUACAGCUAGCAUGUUAAAUCGAAUGUUUCCGCAGAAUAGCUAUGAACUGACCUCUCAACCUCACUCUGUUUUUCUUAGGUGGAUAACUUUACAAAAA